AUGUAGCCCAUAAAGAAGUUAGUGUGAAAACUCUCAAAGAUGUUGCCCCUGACUCAAGCAAAACCGACCAUUUAUUCCCAUUGGUCCUGGUUUCCAGGCUGAAAUUCCGAUUUGGAUUGCCCUCACAAAGGAGGGCAAAUUUUAUGGUAGUCCUGGAGAUUCCGACACUCUUAGAUGGUUGGGUACUGGUGUGUGGCCGACAUAUAGCCUAAAGAAGAAAUUUCAUUACAAAAAAGUCGGUGAAGGAAGAUCAGAUUCUUGUUCUUGUGCUUCUCCAAGAUCAACCAAUUGCAUAAAACAACAUAUAGAAGAAGCACGAGAGGUUCUAGAAAAAGAAAUUGACCGUGCUUUCUAUACUUGGAAGUUUGAUCAAAUGGGUGAAGUCAGAUCAAAAUCAUGGACGACCAAAGAAGGGCAAAGGUUCGAAGCUGUUGUGAAAAUAAUCGUUUGUCAAAUAGUGAAGGAUUUUGGAAAUCUGUUUCAAAGGCUUGCUAACUCUUCUGCUGAGAAACUGGAUGAAGGCCUUGAUGAUAGCUGUAAUCAUUGCAGAUGUUUCUCUUGAACACAGGUACAAGAACUUCAGAGCUCAGAAUGAUAAACAACUAAGGACCAAGAGCUGCAAACUUGGUUGGAGCUGGUGAUGCUGAUAAUGCUUAAGCAAAUAGCCCAGGGAAUACAAGCACCAGCUGUGGAGAACUACAGUUUUGAGAUCAAGGCUGGGUUUAUAAACAUGUUGCAGAGCAAUAAAUUUCAUGGAAAACAGCUUCAAGCUCAAGCUUUUCAAAUUUCGUCUUGGAAACAAAGCACAUCUAUGGGAGAAGAACCUUCCUCAAGGCUCUAUCAUUACAUGGGACCAAUGCAAGAAAGCUUUAUUAGCCAAGUUCUUCUCCAGCUCUAGAACUGCUAGACUGAGGAAUGAAAUAUCA